rnacentral:pre_miRNA from 1 species
AAAGUACUCCCUCCGUCCCAAAAUUCUUAUCUUACAUUUGUCUAGAUACGGAUGUAUCAAGUCACAUUUUAGUAUUAGAUACAUCCGUAUCUAGACAAAUCUAAGACAAGAAAUUUGGGACAGAGGGAGUAGUUG